rnacentral:rRNA from 1 species
GAUGAACGCUGGCGGCGUGCCUAAUACAUGCAAGUCGAACGCUUCACUUCGAUGAAGAGUGGCGAACGGGUGAGUAAUACAUAAGUAACCUGGCAUCUACAGGGGGAUAACUGAUGGAAACGUCAGCUAAGACCGCAUAGGUGUAGAGAUCGCAUGAACUCUAUAUGAAAAGUGCUACGGGACUGGUAGAUGAUGGACUUAUGGCGCAUUAGCUGGUUGGUAGGGUAACGGCCUACCAAGGCGACGAUGCGUAGCCGACCUGAGAGGGUGACCGGCCACACUGGGACUGAGACACGGCCCAGACUCCUACGGGAGGCAGCAGUAGGGAAUUUUCGGCAAUGGGGGAAACCCUGACCGAGCAACGCCGCGUGAAGGAAGAAGUAAUUCGUUAUGUAAACUUCUGUCAUAGAGGAAGAACGGUGGAUAUAGGGAAUGAUAUCCGAGUGACGGUACUCUAUAAGAAAGCCACGGCUAACUACGUGCCAGCAGCCGCCGUAA